AGCCAUGGUUCAGGGGAAGAACGCAUGCGUUGCAUGCAGAAGGUCCUUGGUUCAAUCCCCAGCAUAUCUA